CUGGCUGCCGCUCGCAUUGCAUCGCACGCGUCUGGAGCCGGCAGCGGGGAACGGCGGAGGCAGGGGCGGAAGGAAAGGGCGAGCACGGCGGCACUCGCACGCGCCCUACCCCUCGGCCCUCUCCCCUUGGCUCUGCGGCGCUGCGCGAGCGUGACCUGCGCGGGCGCGACUGCGCCCAACCCAACCCUGGCGGCCGGCACCCGGCGUCCCGGCCCUGGCGGGCGGCGGCACGGUUUGGCUCCGGCUUGCUGCUUGUGCUUGAGCCUUGAAGGUUGAACCGUUGAAGCAAGGAAGGAGUAUCCAGGCCUUGAUGAUAAUGGAACCAAAACAUUCAGCUGAAAUGUCCAAGCAUCUGGAGAAACAAAAUCAAGCACUAAUGGGAACAUACCGAGCAAUGUCUCACGAGUUGCAUAAACUUCAGGUAGAAGAAGAAGCAAUCAUGCACAAACUGUAUGAACUUAUGUCUGCAGAAGGUCUCCUUCCAAAGCACAAGAAAGAAAAGCAUUUGGAGAGAGAUGUCAAGCAAUCAACUGUGGCAGGAAAACAAAGGACGGAACCAUAGAAAGCAAACUUCAAAUUGCAAUAUGAUCUGACUUUGAGUUCAGCUGAAGACUAGAUGGUGCCUAUCUUCUCCAAUGCCAUACUCUGCCACCGCAGCUCAAGUUUCUUCUAUGAUUUAGAAAUUUGGUGGAGACUUCAAAUGUUUGUAUGAUCUAGUAUUUUCCGAACUGCAUGAUGGAAACUUGAAUCUGAUCAUUUGUUUUAUGAGGAAUCAUUUUAUUGUUUAUCUGUUGCAACCGGAUUCACGAUUUCCUUUCCAUGCUUGUCAUGAAAACUUUCAUAGUGUGAUAGAUUUUUAUGGAUGUGUCAAGUUUGUAUCUAUAUAGUGCUAUCAGAAUCUUUGGACGCCAAA